AGGACUAACAGGGCCUGACAUGUAGCAGAUACUAUGAAAUGUUUCUUGAAUUAUUGUUUCGUUGAUGGAUUAAAAAAAAAGAACUUCGGUGCUGAACGAAGUUUAUCAUCCAAAGGAAUGCGAUGCCUUGAUAAUCACUUUUUGGAUAUUCACGCAUUCCACAUUCAUAUAUACUGAACAUCUGCAGCCCAUUAAAAGGAAGGAAUAAAGUGGUAAGCCUCCCGCCCAACCGUCAGGUUGUGGUGAUGAUCUUUUGGUGAAGUGCGCCAUCUGUCAUCAGAAACCAGUAUGGCCUCUCUGUGGGCCAGAGUCAAAGGAACUGUCAACCAGAGGAGUGAAUCUGUGUUCAUUAGCAUUUCCUCUUUGCACAGCAUUUGACCACUUUUUCUACCAACAAUGGCAAAGGACCUGAGACUAUACAUCCAUCCUGCCUGUUGCAGUGGAAGCAGCCAGGUGGGUGCUUUGAAAAUAAAACCUGAGCUUCCCAUGUCAAAAUGUUUUUUCACCACCUGUGAAUUCACUGGUAAAAAAGAGUAAUGGGUGCUCGCUUUGGCAGCACAUAUAUUAACAUUGGAACAACACAAAGAAGAUGAGCAUCACCUCUGCACAAGGAAGACAUGCAAAUUCAUGAAGCAUUCCAUAUUUUUAGGAAGUACCUAGAAUUUUUCAACUAAACGAAUAUAUCCUCUGGGUUCUGCUGUGGCCCAGACAGUGUUAACUUUUUUUUUUUCCGUUGUGGGUUUUGAUUUUUCUCCCCCAGAAAUUGGUUUUAUUUGAUGUGCCCAAGUCUUAAGUUUUUCAAUAAAGAAAAAAAAGUCUCCAUAAAAA